rnacentral:rRNA from 1 species
UCUAGCGAGACUGCCGGUAAUAAACCGGGAGGAAGUGGGGAUGACGUCAAAUCAUCAUGCCCCUUAUGACCUGGGCUACACACGUGCUACAAUGGUUGGUACAACGAGUUGCGAGUCGGUGACGGCGAGCUAAAUCUCUUAAAGCCAAUCUCAGUUCGGAUUGUAGGCUGCAACUCGCCUACAUGAAGUCGGAAUCGCUAGUAAUCGCGGAUCAGCACGCCGCGGUGAAUUACCGGUUCCCGGGCCUU